UGCUGGAUGCUCCAACUUGACGCAUGUCUUUGUUGGGAAAGUGUUUAGUGGCAUGGGAUGGGGUCGCGUCCUAUCAGCUUGUAGGCGGGGUAAUGGCCCCCACCCUAGGCUUCGACGGGUAGCCGGCCUGAGAGGGCGGACGGCCACAUUGGGACUGAGAUACGGCCCAGACUCCUACGGGGAGGCAGCAGUGGGGAAUAUUGCGCAAUGGGGGGAAACCCUGACGCAGCGACGCCGCGUGCGGGAUGAAGGCCUUCGGGUUGUAAACCGCUUUUUGAUUGGGAGCAAGCCUUUUGGGUGAGUGUACCUUUCGAAUAAGCGCCGGCUAACUACGUGCCAGCAGCCGCGGUAAU
rnacentral:rRNA from 1 species